CGCAUAACUCCGAGCUUGUUUUACCUAAGUUUGCCAAAAUAAGGUAGCAAUGCCAGCGACAACCUCAGUAUGAAUGUCGCUCAGGGAUAUUACUGGAAACGGUUUAUCCUCUCGUGUUUUAGAAAGGUGUCCCAUGCAAA
rnacentral:ncRNA from 1 species